GGACUUCCUCCCUCAGGCAAUCAGGCCCUGUUCCGCAGCCCGUCCCUCGAGCACGAGCUCCCGCUGGAGCUGCUGUCAGAUUUGUAAGUGCAUAAGGGCUCUUUUUUAAUUCAUACAUGCUUGACAAAAGUUGCAAGGAGUUGCAUCUUUCAUUGUCAUUUGUAGAUCUGUAAUAGAAACGACACAAUCAAAAGCAUGUCAUUCAAAUACUUUGAUUGUAACCAAGACAAUAAUUAAGGGGGAUGAAAUUAGAAGCAUGUCAUUGCAUUUGUUGAUUUUUAAUGUGAAUGUUUAUUGGAUUCAAUAAUUUCGUAUCGCAUUUCGGAUGAGAAAUUAAACAGAAGAAAAAUCAAAAUUUUCUUAACCACACAUCACUAUAACACAUUAUACAAUUCAUCCCAGAGUGGUACCUGAAGUCGUAAUUUUGGGACACUUUCAUACAUAUGUUAAAGUUGCUGUUAAAUAAGCCAUUAACUGGUGAUGUGGCGUUCAUGUAGAC
rnacentral:lncRNA from 1 species